AUACAGUUUUGGUCCUAGACUUGUUGCUAUUUAUAGUCAAAAUUACACAUGCAAGUAUCAGCACUCCAGUGAGAAUGCCCACCUAUUAAAGGAGCGGGUAUCAGGCGCGGCCCCCCCCCCAGCCCAAAACACCUUGCUAUGCCACACCCACAAGGGUAAUCAGCAGUGAUAAACAUUAAGCAAUGAGCAACACCACAAUAAAGCUCGACUUAGUUAUGAUUUAUGGGGCCGGUUAACCUCGUGCCAGCCACCGCGGUUAUACGAGGGGCCCAAAAUAGACAAACAACGGCGUAAAUGGUGGCUAGAACACGUCAGCUAUCAAAAUGAUAAACCAUGUCCUAACCGUAAAACACAGGACAAAUGAACACCUUAAUUUUGUUUAAAGACAAUUUGACCCCACGAAAACUAAGAACCAAACUAGGAUUAGAUACCCUACUAUGCUUAGUUGUAAAUAAGACAUGAAAACUAUUUACAUGCCCGCCAGAAAAUUACAAGCGAAGAGCUUGAAACCCAAAGGACUUGGCGGUGCUCCACACCCACUUAGAGGAGCCUGUCCUAUAAUUGAUAUUCCACAAUAAACCUCGCCCCCUAUUGCCCACCACAGCCUAUAUACCGCCGUCGUAAAUCUGCCCUAUGAGGGUAAAACAGCAGGUACAAUAGCUACUAGCUAAAACGUCAGGUCAAGGCGUAGCUUAUAAGGGGGAAGAGAUUGGCUACAUUCUUUAACAUAGACUAAACGGCAAAGAGCUGUGAAAACAGCUCUUAAAGGUGGAUUUAACAGUAAGGUUAACAAGAAAAUUAACCUUAAACCAGCCCUGGAGCGCGCACACACCGCCCGUCACCCUCAUCAACACACCACACUUAUACAUAAU
rnacentral:rRNA from 1 species